rnacentral:rRNA from 1 species
CCUGGCUCAGAUUGAACGCUGGCGGCAGGCCUAACACAUGCAAGUCGAGCGGUAACAGGAAAGCGCUUGCGCUUUUGCUGACGAGCGCGGACGGGUGAGUAAUGUCUGGGGAUCUCCCCGAGGGCGGGGGAUAACCACUGGAAACGGUGGCUAAUACCGCAUAAUGUCGCGAGACCAAAGUGGGGGACCUGAAGGCCUCACGCCGUCGGAUGAACCCAGAUGGGAUUAGCUAGUAGGUAGGGUAAAGGCCUACCUAGGCGACGAUCCCUAGCUGGUCUGAGAGGAUGACCAGCCACACUGGGACUGAGACACGGCCCAGACUCCUACGGGAGGCAGCAGUGGGGAAUAUUGCACAAUGGGCGCAAGCCUGAUGCAGCCAUGCCGCGUGUAUGAAGAAGGCCUUCGGGUUGUAAAGUACUUUCAGCGGGGAGGAAGGGUUCAGCUUGAACAGAGCUGAAUUUUGACGUUACCCGCAGAAGAAGCACCGGCUAACUCCGUGCCAGCAGCCGCGGUAAUACGGAGGUGCAAGCGUUAAUCGGAAUGACUGGGCGUAAAGCGCACGCAGCGGUCAAUUAAGUUAGAUGUGAAAUCCCCGGGCUCAACCUGGGAAUGGCAUCUAAGACUGGUUGGCUGGAGUCUCGUAGAGGGGGGUAGAAUUCCAUGUGUAGCGGUGAAAUGCGUAGAGAUGUGGAGGAAUACCGGUGGCGAAGGCGGCCCCCUGGACGAAGACUGACGCUCAGGUGCGAAAGCGUGGGGAGC